UACCAGCACCCCGAGUGGUCGGGACGUUUAUUGGGCCUAAAGCAUCCGUAGCCGGUUCUACAAGUCUUCCGUUAAAUCCAGCUGCUUAACAGAUGGGCUGCGGAAGAUACUAUGGAGCUAGGAGGCGGGAGAGGCAAGCGGUACUCGAUGGGUAGGGUAAAAUCCGUUGAUCCAUUGAAGACCACCAGUGGCGAAGGCGGCUUGCCAGAACGCGCUCGACGGUGAGGGAUGAAAAGCUGGGGGGGAGCAAACCGG
rnacentral:rRNA from 1 species